rnacentral:lncRNA from 15 species
UUGUGGAACUGCAGUGUCCAUAACUAAUUUCCUGUAUGUUCCCAUAUAACAUACAUAAUACUUGAUUGAAGUUAUGAAUGAAUUAUUAUUAUUAAGUCUAUUUAUCUCAUUAAAACAUAUUUCCAACAGAUUCCUUUCACAAGAUUCAAGUUCACGGUCAAAAACCACAGAUGAGUCUUCAGCAUUUUGAGGGUGAACACGUUCUCUUUACUUGCUCUCUGCCUGGAUCUGCUUAUAAUGAUACGAGAUGUAACCUGUACUUUGGAGAAGAAAGUGAUCCAGGUGUAACAACAACCAUCUGGAAGAAAAGAAGCUCAACCAAUCAGUGGUUCUGCCAGUUUACCGUCAAAAUUGAUGAUUUGCUGAGACGUCUAAGUUUAAAUCAACAGAGUGAUGCCAGCUGUGAUUACAGUUUGGGAAAUGAAUCCAGCUCUUUGUCUCCUCGUAGUGAUCGAGGCAACUUAACCUACAUUGUGGAAAAAGAAUCAAACUCGGGUCUCACACGAUCAGCAGUUAUUGUGACCACAGGUCUGACUGUUAGCCGGCCUCAUGCUUCCACUCCUGUAACUCCUGCAACACAAACAUCACCUAACAGAAUUAUAGGUCUGACUGUUAGCCGGCCUCAUGCUUCCACUCUUGUAACUCCUGCAACACAAACAUCACCUAACAGAAGUACCGGUCUGACUGUUGGACCAAGUAACACUGAUAGUUUUAUCUCUUCUUCCCUAAUACCAGUGAAACCAGCAUCAGCUCUGACACUAAAUACCGCUAGCACUAAAGCUAGCUUGUUCCCUGAGACGUCACUAAUCCUAGCAUCAGAAACAUGGAUUCGGAAGUCGGUAAUAGUUGUGGCUGGUUUUGGAGUAACUGUGGGUGUUAUCUUACUGGGACUGGCACUUUUCUGUACCAAAAGAAGAACUGAAGGAUGUUCUUACAAGAGGACACAAACCAAUGUCACAGAUGACUUUAUGUACAUGAUAAAUCUUGACUAUGAGGGAUUGUUCUCUGCAGAUAUUGAUAAAGCCUUUGAUGUGAUCACCUCAUUACCUGGUGUUGAAUGUCCUACUGGUUCUGACAAACUAGACAGGCGAGAGCCUCAAACUGAGGACUCUGACAUAUACCAUGUGUACUGCACUAUCCCUGACGACCAACCUCCAUCAGCCCCGAAUGACAUGGUGUACAGCACAGUGCAGACUCACUGAAAAUGUUUUAUACCUAAAAGGAAUGUAGAUAUCUUGUUUAACAUUUGCAUCAAAUAACUAUUUGCAUAUUCUAACUACGUCAUUCAAUAGCCACAGUACUCUAUAUUAGGUGUUGAAGUGAAACAAUUAUAGUAAACAUAUCUACAAACUGUUUGUCCUCAACACAAAUGUUCAUACAUUUAUUUGCAAAAUAUUCUCUGUAAAUGUUUUUUCUAAAAUAUUUGUUCCUGGCAACCUAACACACUCUGGUUAAAUGCCUCCACCAACCAGUCAAGUUGCAGUUUACAUCCAUGUCUGUCCAGACUCAUAGAAUCAUGUGGUGAUCACUUAAAGAAUUAUAUAUAUAUGAUUAUAUAUACAUAUAUAUAUGUUUAAUUGUAUAUAUGUGUAGAAAAUUACAAAGUUUAUUGUUUCAGCUAAAUUAAAGGUAUCACUUUACUGGUGGUGUGAAUGAUUUCAGUGAAUAUACAUGUUUGAACUGAUGAAGGAUUAUUAUAGAUUUAUUGGCUAAACAGGUACACAUGCAAUUGAUCACAUGUAAUUGAUUAAAAAUGGAGUAUAGAUAUACAGAAUGUGGUGCUUUUGUUUUAUUCUUUCCAUUUUUGGAUUAGAAGCUUCUCUCUGAGCUGUAGGUGAAACUCACUCACUCACAGGAUCACCAUUAGUCAUUCUGAUGACGCUCUAAAUCCAGAAUGAGGCAAAUUAUGGCUAAAAAUCUAUGUUGAGGUCACAAUAACCUUGACCUUUGACCGCCAAAAUGGAAUCAUUUCUUCUUUGAGUCUAAGUGGAUGUUUGUGAUGAAUUUGAAGAAAUUCCUUCAUGGCGUUCCUGAGAUGUUGAGUUUACAAGAAUGGGACAACCUGAAAACAUCUUGGCUGUUGCCGGUGUGGAGGCAUAAAAAGUCAAAGUUCACUUGGAAUCACUGGACUUGAUAAAUAAAUGUAUAAAAGUACUUGAUUGAUAAAGUACUCAGAAGUGCAACUUACUUUCCAUUUAAAUAUUUUUUAGGGUGUGAUUACAACAGCAAUUAUGGAAGUAAUAUUGAUGUUGAAGUUAAUUUAAAAGCCUGACAGACC